GCAUGUUCACAUGAUUAAAGGUAUUCCGGUAGACGAUGGGGAUGCGUUCCAUUAGAUAGUAGGCGGGGUAACGGCCCACCUAGUCUUCGAUGGAUAGGGGUUCUGAGAGGAAGGUCCCCCACAUUGGAACUGAGACACGGUCCAAACUCCUACGGGAGGCAGCAGUGAGGAAUAUUGGUCAAUGGGCGAGAGCCUGAACCAGCCAAGUAGCGUGAAGGAUGACUGCCCUAUGGGUUGUAAACUUCUUUUAUAAAGGAAUAAAGUCGGGUAUGCAUACCUGUUUGCAUGUACUUUAUGAAUAAGGAUCGGCUAACUCCGUGCCAGCAGCCGCGGUAAUACGGAGGAUCCGAGCGUUAUCCGGAUUUAUUGGGUUUAAAGGGAGCGUAGAUGGAUGUUUAAGUCAGUUGUGAAAGUUUGCGGCUCAACCGUAAAAUUGCAGUUGAUACUGGAUAUCUUGAGUGCAGUUGAGGCAGGCGGAAUUCGUGGUGUAGCGGUGAAAUGCUUAGAUAUCACGAAGAACUCCGAUUGCGAAGGCAGCCUGCUAAGCUGCAACUGACAUUGAGGCUCGAAAGUGUGGGUAUCAAACAGGAUUAGAUACCCUGGUAGUCCACACGGUAAACGAUGAAUACUCGCUGUUUGCGAUAUACAGCAAGCCGCC
rnacentral:rRNA from 1 species